ACUGCCUCUUGGCCACCUUCUGCCACACUUGGGAGUGAAGUGCAUGGGUAAGGGCUGCCCCUGGUGCUGCCUCCAGGGAAGGAUUCCACCAUCUACUGGGCAAGAUUGGAAAAGCCCUAGAAGGAACCCAGCAUCCCUUUCCCUUCUACUUUCACUUUAGGUUUUGGGGCACAAGGGAAAAAGGCAGGGACCUCAUCUACAGGUGUAUUUGCUGGGUGGUACAGAGCAAGUGACCCCUUAGUCCUUGAGGAGUACAUAUACCCCCAACAUACACACACACACACACACACAUAGGACUGGGGGCACCAUAUCUUUAUUUCAGUGUUCUCUGGGAAGAUCAGCAUUAUGAGCUCAACAACAUAGCAUUCUUACUGUCCCACCACGUCCUCUGCUCUCUCACAAAAGAAAAAUACGAACUUAGGGACCGAAGGAUGCAAUUGUGUUACCCCUUACCAUGCCACAUCUUAGUGAGAGCUUGGUGAGAACCUGGAUGGGUUUGUAAGUGGAGCCCAGGGUUUGAUUCAGGAAAACGUGAGUUCUAGUCCUGACUUUGUCUCUUACUAGCUACGAGACCUUAGCCAUUUAUGUAAUUUCUUCCCAUCUUAGCUUUCUCCUCUGUCAGAUGAAAAUAGUACUAAAUUUUUGUUCUGAUUUGGCCUGGUGAAGCUAGCAUUAGAUAAUGGGUGGGAAAGCACAUUACAAAUUCUGACACACCAAACAAAUGCAAUAUAGAAAAUUAGAGACUAAUCAGUCCCCUAUUCAUUCCUGUUUAGUAGGAAUCAGUCCUGUAGGACAGAUGCAAGGGAAGAUUUGUUUGCCUUUCCUGGGCAUGAACUAGUGUCUGGGAAGAAAAUAGGAAAGUUCAUCCUGAAAUUGACUAAAAGGUGGAAACUUGAGCCUAGAUGGACUGCACGUGACUGAGGGUCAGGGGUCGCUCAUGAUUGGUUGAAAUAAGAUGUGAGAAGUGGAACCGCCCAAGGCAGCAGGGACCAGCAGGUAACUCUCAAAGGACACUGAGUCUGGCUAGAUGUUUCUUUUGUUUCCUAAUUCAAGAGUAGAAGUUUGUGCAUUAUUUCAUUUUCCUUUUCUGACAAGAGAAAAUAUAUGCAUUCACCCGAAAGAGACCUUUUUAUUGUUCUGGAAUCAAACCUAAGCAGACAUUUAUGGAAUGAGAAUUUAUUUAAAGAACUUUGAGUAACACAGUGGACAGUAUCUUCAACGACAGCCUGUAAAAGACACUAAAAUCCUUCUUAAAUAGACACUUCUUAUUUCAACUUUCUAUAGCGGCAGAAGGCAUAACAUUAAAUUUUAACUUACUAGAGACUUUUAUUUGAG
rnacentral:lncRNA from 1 species